rnacentral:rRNA from 1 species
UACGUAGGGUGCGAGCGUUGUCCGGAAUUACUGGGCGUAAAGAGCGCGCAGGCGGUCGUUCAAGUCGCGUGUGAAAGCCCCCCGGCUCAACUGGGGAGGGUCACGCGAUACUGAUCGACUCGAAGGCAGGAGAGGGUAGUGGAAUUCCCGGUGUAGUGGUGAAAUGCGUAGAUAUCGGGAGGAACACCAGUGGCGAAGGCGACUACCUGGCCUGUUCUUGACGCUGAGGCGCGAAAGCUAGGGGAGCAAACGGG